rnacentral:lncRNA from 1 species
AAAAAAUAUAUGUUGAAUGAAAUGGAUGGACAUGCUUAUCAGUAAUUUCCCAAGCUGAGAGUGCUUGAGGGAAAUUCUCAUGACUCUUGAAAAUGAGAAGACUGGAUCCUUAUGAUGGCAUUGAGCCAGAAACAAGUCAGGGAGAGAAGAGACUGGCACUUAAACCAAAUGCAUAAUGAAAAAAAUUCC